rnacentral:sRNA from 1 species
UGCUGUAUAUCUGGUGAUUUACAUGUGUUUACACAGUAAUCUUCAUAGAGGUGGACGUAAUCCCGUUAUAUAGAGCAUGAAACUGAGGCCCUUGGGAGGUGACUUGCAAAGAUUCUGUUGAAGUAGUUCAUCAAGUUGCUACCAGAAUAGACUGUCUCCAUUGUGUGGAUGCUGAAACUGAACCCAGAAAGCUGACAUCGGCCUGGCUGCCUGGGGACGCAAGGCCCUGGACAUUGCCGAGAAUGAGAUGCCGGGCCUGAUGCGUAUGCGGGAGCGGUACUCGGCCUCCAAGCCACUGAAGGGCGCCCGCAUCGCUGGCUGCCUGCACAUGACCGUGGAGACGGCCGUCCUCAUUGAGACUCUCGUCACCCUGGGUGCUGAGGUGCAGUGGUCCAGCUGCAACAUCUUCUCCACCCAGGACCAUGCGGCGGCUGCCAUUGCCAAGGCUGGCAUUCCGGUGUAUGCCUGGAAGGGCGAAACGGAUGAGGAGUACCUGUGGUGCAUUGAACAGACCCUGUACUUCAAGGACGGACCCCUCAACAUGAUUCUGGAUGAUGGGGGUGACCUCACCAACCUCAUCCACACCAAGUACCCACAGCUCCUGCCAGGCAUCCGAGGCAUCUCUGAGGAGACCACGACUGGGGUCCACAACCUCUACAAGAUGAUGGCCAAUGG